UGCCUUACACAUGCAAGUCGAACGGCAGCGCGGGGCAACCUGGCGGCGAGUGGCGAACGGGUGAGUAAUAUAUCGGAACGUGCCCUGGAGUGGGGGAUAACGUAGCGAAAGUUACGCUAAUACCGCAUACGAUCUAAGGAUGAAAGUGGGGGACCGCAAGGCCUCAUGCUCCUGGAGCGGCCGAUAUCUGAUUAGCUAGUUGGUGGGGUAAAGGCCUACCAAGGCAUCGAUCAGUAGCUGGUCUGAGAGGACGACCAGCCACACUGGAACUGAGACACGGUCCAGACUCCUACGGGAGGCAGCAGUGGGGAAUUUUGGACAAUGGGCGCAAGCCUGAUCCAGCAAUGCCGCGUGAGUGAAGAAGGCCUUCGGGUUGUAAAGCUCUUUUGUCAGGGAAGAAACGGUGGCUCCUAAUACGGGUUGCUAAUGACGGUACCUGAAGAAUAAGCACCGGCUAACUACGUGCCAGCAGCCGCGGUAAUACGUAGGGUGCAAGCGUUAAUCGGAAUUACUGGGCGUAAAGCGUGCGCAGGCGGUUUUGUAAGUCUGUCGUGAAAUCCCCGGGCUCAACCUGGGAAUUGCGAUGGAGACUGCAAGGCUAGAAUCUGGCAGAGGGGGGUAGAAUUCCACGUGUAGCAGUGAAAUGCGUAGAGAUGUGGAGGAACACCGAUGGCGAAGGCAGCCCCCUGGGUCAAGAUUGACGCUCAUGCACGAAAGCGUGGGGAGC
rnacentral:rRNA from 1 species